GGACAGUCCGGGAAUCAGCGUGUUUUACGUGAGCAGAAUGUGUCCCUUUAUUUAAAAUGCAUCUCUGGGUUAUUUGUGGGGCCUGCCUGGUGUUUUUACAUGAGUAGAAUGUGUGUUUUUAUUUAAAGUGUAUCUCUGGGUUAUUUGUGGGGCAUAGGAAUUUGUUCAUUUUUUUCUUCAAAAUAUAGUCCGGCCCACCACAUGGUCUGAGGGAUGGUGGACCGGCCCACGGCUGAAAAAGGUUGCUGACCCCUGUCCUAGAAGUGACAAUGGCACUCACCUGAGAGGUGCCGGAACUGAGUUGCGGUUGUGAACCACCCUGUGGUCUUCAGAUGAAGGGUAGUAUACAAAUUAAAUUGAUGGUGGUAACAAUAACAACAACAAAGUGAGUUAGAAAAACAAAAAAUCAUCUUUGCACUGUACCCUACCCUACCAGCAGCCUAUGGAGGAGCACCUCACCAAGGGAAAUAGGGUGUGUGGCACAGUGACAGACAGCACCCAGGGAAACAUCACAACACACAUUUUU